UUUGCUGUCUCUCCACCUUCGAAACAUGACUGAAGCGUCCACGUUCGCAGGGGAAAACGUAUUUGGCUCAUUGAGUAGAGAGAUGACGCUAAGAAGGAUGGUCCUAUUCAAAAGAAAAACAUGCAAACAAACCUCUCCGCUCUGUGGAUCGUCGACUGGAGGAUGCAGGAUGGAGAUGCACACGUCGCCAUUCUGAGGCAAAACAAGAGGGCCCACAUGAAGUAUACCAAGAAGGCCAGAACACAUGUAAGAAGAAUACCUCAUAAAUGUUUGGGUGCCACAUCUUGGUGAUGAAACGGAAGGUUGGUGGUAAAUACGGGUAGUCCACUGGGAACUUGAUGUGAGCCUGGAAGAGCAAUUGUUAUUACAAGUGCUGCUGAAUGCCGCAAAUGACAUGACAUGCAGCCGUGCCGAUUGCAACUCCAUGAGAGCUGCGUUAGAACCAAAGCAUUCCUUUUUGCAGUAGCUAAGAUACGAGCACUGCGCUCCUCAGGUGCUGGUGCAAACUUGUUGAGACAAGAACAAGCACUCACGCCUGUGCGGCAGACAUGUUAGCAGCUAGCCCAUACCAGUAGACACAAAUGUUCCCUUACCUUAAAGUAGCCGCCCUCAUACAGGGUGUUCGGAGGCCCAAAGAUGGCCACCUCCCAGUUGUAGAGAUCCGACUCCUGAACCAGAGUGAUGCGGAAGCCUUCCACAGGCUGCUCCUGAAGUGACUUCAACUCCAUCAUCAGGGCCUUCUGAGAGCUCGGGGUUGCCUGAUGGGCCAUGCCGAUCCCACUUCUGAAAGAAUAGAGGACCGUGUGAACAAGACCAAAACAAGCUUAUGUUGGGGCCAUUUUAUGUUUCUGAAUUUUUUACAUUAUUAUGAAGCAGUGAUUUUCAACCAUGGUACCAGCGUCCUAUUGUGACAGGCAGAAUGAUCAAUCCUUUCUCAACCAUCACAUGAAAUCAUUUCGUACUUUUUGUUC